AUAAAAAUAGAAUCUAUAUAUACAUUGUUGCAGUCAUUUUGUGAAAUAAAUCCUGGAGUUGGAAUUUAUUUACAAUGGCUACCAUUGGCUUUUAAUUAUUGUUUUUUUAGCAAUAAAUUGAUUAACAAA
rnacentral:sRNA from 1 species